rnacentral:rRNA from 1 species
GUGGGGAAUUUUGGACAAUGGGCGCAAGCCUGAUCCAGCAAUGCCGCGUGCAGGAAGAAGGCCUUCGGGUUGUAAACUGCUUUUGUACGGAACGAAACGGCUCUGGUUAAUACCCGGGGCUAAUGACGGUACCGUAAGAAUAAGCACCGGCUAACUACGUGCCAGCAGCCGCGGUAAUACGUAGGGUGCAAGCGUUAAUCGGAAUUACUGGGCGUAAAGCGUGCGCAGGCGGUUGUGUAAGACAGGCGUGAAAUCCCCGGGCUCAACCUGGGAAUUGCGCUUGUGACUGCAAGGCUGGAGUGCGGCAGAGGGGGAUGGAAUUCCGCGUGUAGCAGUGAAAUGCGUAGAUAUGCGGAGGAACACCGAUGGCGAAGGCAAUCCCCUGGGCCUGCACUGACGCUCAUGCACGAAAGCGUGGGGAGCAAACAGGAUUAGAUACCCUUGUAGUCC